AUGACCCAUCCAAGGAAGCUUGCUCAGCUGGCCAAGAAGUGUCAGCGGAUGUUGGUGGCCAGAGCCGGUGCCCGCCAUCGGCGUGCCUCAGACACGGCCGACGACGAGUGCUGCAGCACAGUGUCAUCUGUGGUUGCCGAUGAGGGCCACUGCAUGAUGUACACCGCAGACGGAACCCGGUUGGAGGUCCCUCUGGCGUACCUCGGGACUACGGUCUUCGCUAAGCUCCUGAGGAUGUCUGAGGAGGAGUUUGGCUUCGUGAGCAGCAGUGAUGGAGGCAGGAUCAUGCUGACCUGCGAUGCCAGUGUGAUGGAAUAUGUCUUGUGCCUGGUCAGGAGAGAGGCCCCUGAGGAGGUUGAGAGGCGUUCUUGA
rnacentral:rRNA from 1 species